AAGGGGAUAAUACUUGGAAACAGGGGCAAAUACCGAAUAACAAUCGAAACCGCGGGGUUUUGAUUUGAAAGGCGCUUUCGGGUGUCGCUGAUGGAUGGACCCGCGGUGCAUUAGCUAGUUGGUGAGGUAACGGCUCACCAAGGCCACGAUGCAUAGCCGACCUGAGAGGGUGAUCGGCCACAUUGGGACUGAAACACGGCCCAAACUCCUACGGGAGGCAGCAGUAGGGAAUCUUCGGCAAUGGACGAAAGUCUGACCGAGCAACGCCGCGUGAGUGAAGAAGGUUUUCGGAUCGUAAAACUCUGUUGUUAGAGAAGAACAAGGAUGAGAGUAACUGUUCAUCCCUUGACGGUAUCUAACCAGAAAGCCACGGCUAACUACGUGCCAGCAGCCGCGGUAAUACGUAGGUGGCAAGCGUUGUCCGGAUUUAUUGGGCGUAAAGCGAGCGCAGGCGGUUUCUUAAGUCUGAUGUGAAAGCCCCCGGCUCAACCGGGGAGGGUCAUUGGAAACUGGGAGACUUGAGUGCAGAAGAGGAGAGUGGAAUUCCAUGUGUAGCGUUGAAAUGCGUAAAUAUAUGGAGGAACACCAGUGGCGAAGGCGGCUCUCUGGUCUGUAACUGACGCUGAGGCUCGAAAGCGUGGGGAGCAAACAGGAUUAGAUACCCUGGUAGUCCACGCCGUAAACGAUGAGUGCUAAGUGUUGGAGGGUUUCCGCCCUUCAGUGCUGCAGCUAACGCAUUAAGCACUCCGCCUGGGGAGUACGACCGCAAGGUUGAAACUCAAAGGAAUUGACGGGGGCCCGCACAAGCGGUGGACCAUGUGGUUUAAUUCGAAGCAACGCGAAGACCCUUACCAGGUCUUGACAUCCUUUGACCACUCUAGAGAUAGAGCUUCCCCUUCGGGGGCAAAGUGCCAGGUGGUGCAUGGUUGUCGUCAGCUCGUGUCGUGAGAUGUUGGGUUAAGUCCCGCAACGAGCGCAACCCUUAUUGUUAGUUGCCAUCAUUCAGUUGGGCACUCUAGCAAGACUGCCGGUGACAAACCGGAGGAAGGUGGGGAUGACGUCAAAUCAUCAUGCCCCUUAUGACCUGGGCUACACACGUGCUACAAUGGGAAGUACAACGAGUUGCGAAGUCGCGAGGCUAAGCUAAUCUCUUAAAGCUUCUCUCAGUUCGGAAUGCAGGCUGCAACU
rnacentral:rRNA from 1 species